GGAGAGAUGGCUCAGUGGUUAAGAGCACUGACUGCUCUUCCAGAGGUCCUGAGCUCAAUUCCCAGCAACCACA
rnacentral:tRNA from 1 species